rnacentral:rRNA from 1 species
UGCGUAGGCGGCGCGGUAAGUCGGGUGUGAAAUCUCGGGGCUUAACUCCGAAACUGCAUUCGAUACUGCCGUGAUUGAGGACUGGAGAGGAGACUGGAAUUUACGGUGCAGCGGUGAAAUGCGUAGAUAUCGUAAGGAAGACCAGUGGCGAAGGCGGGUCUCUGGACAGUUCCUGACGCUGAGGCACGAAGGCCAGGGGAGGCAAAACG